AAAAACUCCGGUGGUAUGGGAUGGGCCCGCGUCUGAUUAGGUAGUUGGCGGGGUAAAGGCCCACCAAGCCGACGAUCAGUAGCCGACCUGAGAGGGUGGCCGGCCACAUUGGGACUGAGACACGGCCCAAACUCCUACGGGAGGCAGCAGUGGGGAAUAUUGCGCAAUGGGGGAAACCCUGACGCAGCAACGCCGCGUGAGUGAGGAAGUAUCUCGGUAUGUAAAGCUCUAUCAGCGGGGAAGAAGGAAGACGGUACCCGACUAAGAAGCCCCGGCUAACUACGUGCCAGCAGCCGCGGUAAUACGUAGGGGGCGAGCGUUAUCCGGAUUUACUGGGUGUAAAGGGAGCGUAGACGGCGUCGCAAGUCUGAAGUGAAAGCCCGUGGCCCAACCGCGGAACCGCUUUGGAAACUGUGAGGCUGGAGUGCUGGAGAGGUAAGCGGAAUUCCUGGUGUAGCGGUGAAAUGCGUAGAUAUCAGGAGGAACACCGGUGGCGAAGGCGGCUUACUGGACAGUGACUGACGUUGAGGCUCGAAAGCGUGGGGAGCGAACAGGAUUAGAUACCCUGGUAGUCCACGCGGUAAACGAUGAGUGCUAGGUGUCGGGGGGCAAAGCCCCUCG
rnacentral:rRNA from 1 species